rnacentral:rRNA from 1 species
AGAGUUUGAUUAUGGCUCAGAACGAACGCUGGCGGCAGGCCUAAUACAUGCAAGUCGAACGCUCCAGCAAUGGAGAGUGGCAGACGGGUGAGUAACGCGUGGGAACCUACCCUUUGGUACGGAACAACUCAGGGAAACUUGAGCUAAUACCGUAUACGCCCUUCGGGGGAAAGAUUUAUCGCCAAAGGAUGGGCCCGCGUCGGAUUAGCUAGCUGGUAGGGUAAUGGCCUACCAAGGCUACGAUCCGUAGCUGGUCUGAGAGGAUGAUCGGCCACACUGGGACUGAGACACGGCCCAGACUCCUACGGGAGGCAGCAGUAGGGAAUAUUGGACAAUGGGCGCAAGCCUGAUCCAGCCAUGCCGCGUGAGUGAAGAAGGCCUUCGGGUUGUAAAGCUCUUUUGACGGGGACGAUAAUGACGGUACCCGUAGAAUAAGCCCCGGCUAACUUCGUGCCAGCAGCCGCGGUAAU